GAUGAACGCUGGCGGCGUGCCUAAUACAUGCAAGUCGAGCGAACAGAUCAGGAGCUUGCUCCUUUGACGUUAGCGGCGGACGUGUGAGUAACACGUGGAUAACCUACCUAUAAGACUGGGAUAACUUCGGGAAACCGGAGCUAAUCCCGGAUAACAUAUUGACCCGCAUGGUUCAAUAGUGAAAGGCGGCUUUGCUGUCACUUAUAGAUGGAUCCGCGCCGUAUUAGCUAGUUGGUAAGGUAACGGCUCACCAAGGCAACGAUACGUAGCCGACCUGAGAGGGUGAUCGGCCACACUGGAACUGAGACACGGUCCAGACUCCUACGGGAGGCAGCAGUAGGGAAUCUUCCGCAAUGGGCGAAAGCCUGACGGAGCAACGCCGCGUGAGUGAUGAAGGUCUUCGGAUCGUAAAACUCUGUUAUCAGGGAAGAACAAAUGUGUAAGUAACUGUGCACAUCUUGACGGUACCUGAUCAGAAAGCCACGGCUAACUACGUG
rnacentral:rRNA from 1 species